CUGUGCCAGUGUGUCAGACACCAGAGGGAGAGAGGAAAACAGCCAAUACAAAAGGGAAUGAUCCCUGGCUCAAGAUGAGAAGGAAGGAGAGCUCUCUAUGUUCGUAGUCCAGCCAUAUAGGAUGCUUGGCCAAAAUGAAGGUAUAGAAAAGGAACAACCAAAGAAAGAACAGGACAUACUGGAUCUUUCUGGGUAUCAUCAAACUUCUCCAUCCAAGAAUAAGGGACAGCAGCAUCUCUUUGACAUCCAUAGCCCAUUUCUGCUUUGCCAAUAUCACUUGUGCAUCUGGGGCCACCAAUGCAUC